rnacentral:lncRNA from 1 species
UGUGCCGCACAGGGUGUCCGACGUGGGGGUGCAUUACGUCAAAUCCGAGGUGUUAUGUCAAAUCAGUUUUUUACCCCUAUCAUAUGCCCCACCCGAAAGGAGCUAUGCGUCGGUUUUGCAGGUAGGGAGUCCGAUGCAUGGCUUUCUGCUUCAAGCGGGCUGUUCAGACGGGUCUGAGGAGCGCGCCGCAAACGGGUCGGUCGCGUGAAUGCAUCUCGAG